rnacentral:rRNA from 1 species
UACGUAGGGGGCAAGCGUUAUCCGGAUUCAUUGGGCGUAAAGAGCGCGUAGGCGGCUUGUUAAGUCAGAUGUGAAAACCGGGGGCUUAACCCGCGGCCUGCAUCUGAAACUGGCAGGCUUGAGUCUGGUAGAGGAAAGUGGAAUUCCCAGUGUAGCGGUGAAAUGCGCAGAUAUUGGGAGGAACACCAGUGGCGAAGGCGGCUUUCUGGGCCACGACUGACGCUGAGGCGCGGAAGCUAGGGGAGCGAUCAGG